GUCCUACGUGUGCCAGCCAUUACGGUCGUGUCGUUCCAUCAUCACACAUCAAAGCCUGCGUUAAUUUCGAAAAUCAGCGGCAUCCGGACUCCUAUAAUAAAGGUACCAAGUUAUCCUGAGCGGAUGGAAGCUUCUAGAACAUUUGUCGUUUAACGCCCGCCAUCUUGACGAUUUCGAUGCCGUUCGUGCGUUACCUGAUGCAACCCGCUUAAUUAACGUUUGGGCUUGUUAAAUUGGAAGCUGCGCCGCAUCGAGACAAUCCUGAUGCUCAAAGUUAAUCCUGAUGGGAGCCUUGCCAGAAAAUCUAAGUAACUUUUUGCGCCAAUUGAUCAUUACUUAUAAAGGGGU